rnacentral:rRNA from 1 species
UACGUAGGGUGCAAGCGUUGUCCGGAAUUAUUGGGCGUAAAGGGCUCGUAGGCGGCGUGUCGCGUCGGGAGUGAAAGCCCGUUGCUUAACGGCGGGUUGGCUUUCGGUACGGGCAUGCUGGAGUGCGGCAGGGGAGACUGGAAUUCCUGGUGUAGCGGUGGAACGCGCAGAUAUCAGGAGGAACACCGGUGGCGAAGGCGGGUCUCUGGGCCGUUACUGACGCUGAGGAGCGAAAGCGUGGGGAGCGAACAGG